CUUUAUGAUUAAUAAUAGUGAGCACUUGUCAGAUAUGUGUUGCAAAUAUUUAUUUUCCAUUCUAUAGUUUGCCUACUCAGUUUUAAACAUUGUCUUUUGAAGAACAGGUUUUAAUUUUAAUCUUUUUCUUUUGUGAUUAAUACUUUCUGGAUCCUUUAUAGGAGUGUUUGCUGACACCAAGCUCAGAAAGAUUUUCUCCUGUUUUCUUUUAGAAGCUUUGUCAUUUAGCUUGUGCAUUUAUUUCUGAUUGAUUUUUAAUUUCGUGUGUGCUAUGAUGGUAGGCAAAGCAAGUGCCAACGGGGAAUCAGGAUAUGGUUGUGGAGAGGGAGCCUGAGAAACUGCUGCCACAUCCAGGGAAUGCAGCAGGUGUGCAAAUUCCCACUCCAGCUCUGAGGAGGACUCUUCUGAGGCCUUGUAACGGCAGUGAAUACACUUAAUAUCUUUUAAUGGGAAUUUUUUGGUGGGAACGAGAGUGCUGUGAGCAGCCAGUAAUUCCAGUUCCUAUAUUGCAUAUUAAAGUUGCUACUGUUUAAAAGCUCAUAGUUGGAGCUUAGUUGGGUAGGUAUUCAAACCAACAGCGCCCCCUUGAUGCUUUUAGCUGAGUGUCUUCUGGGGCCGAAAGCAUUUACUUUGGGGAAAAUGAAUGUUUAAAGCAAGAUGAAGUGGCUGCAUACCGCAGCUAUAACUAAUAGAGUAGGUCCCCCCGUCCCCUGGUUCUGCUUUGUUGGCUUUUGGAACUGAAGUCAUGAUUAAAAAGUUUUUAGCUCUGAGUAUUGUUAUUAUGCAGCUAGAGUUGAAAUUCUUAGACCUGUGCAAAAUAGACCAGAGCGAAAGCAUUUGCCAAGAUUGGUUUUACUAAUCAGGAAUGAAAGGUGGAGGGGAUUCGGAAAUAGUCAGCUACCAUUACAGUUCCAGUCUUAAAGGGUACAGACUUGCAAAUGGAGAGGCUUUAUUUUCAAAUCCACUGGUUAGCUUCCAGGAAACCAAAGUCUUUGGGUUCUG
rnacentral:ncRNA from 1 species